rnacentral:tRNA from 1 species
AGGGGUGGGUCAAACCGCCAAGAACUGCUAAUUCCUGCACCCGGGCUUUAAACCCCGGCCCCCUC